rnacentral:rRNA from 1 species
UCCAGACUCCUACGGGAGGCAGCAGUGGGGGAUAUUGCACAAUGGGGGAAACCCUGAUGCAGCGACGCCGCGUGAGUGAAGAAGUAUUUCGGUAUGUAAAGCUCUAUCAGCAGGGAAGAAAAAAGACGGUACCUGACUAAGAAGCCCCGGCUAACUACGUGCCAGCAGCCGCGGUAAUACGUAGGGGGCAAGCGUUAUCCGGAUUUACUGGGUGUAAAGGGAGCGUAGACGGCAAUACAAGUCGGAAGUGAAAUACCCGGGCUUAACCUGGGAACUGCUUUGGAAACUGUAUGGCUGGAGUGCUGGAGAGGUAAGCGGAAUUCCUAGUGUAGCGGUGAAAUGCGUAGAUAUUAGGAGGAGCACCAGUGGCGAAGGCGGCUUACUGGACAGUAACUGACGUUGAGGCUCGAAAGCGUGGGGAGCAAACAGGAUUAGAUCCCCUAGUA